rnacentral:rRNA from 1 species
GACGUAGGGCGCGAGCGUUGUCCGGAUUUAUUGGGCGUAAAGAGCUCGUAGGCGGCUUGUCGCGUCGUCCGUGAAAACCUGCAGCUCAACUGCAGGCUUGCGGUCGAUACGGGCAGGCUAGAGUUCGGUAGGGGAGACUGGAAUUCCUGGUGUAGCGGUGAAAUGCGCAGAUAUCAGGAGGAACACCGGUGGCGAAGGCGGUCAUCUGGCCCGGUACUGACGCUCAGGCACGGAAAGUGUGGGUAGCAAACAGG